UACGGUAGGGGGCAAGCGUUGUCCGGAUUUAUUGGGCGUAAAGAGCGUGUAGGCGGCUAGAUAGGUCCGUUGUGAAAACUCGAGGCUCAACCUCGAGACGUCGAUGGAAACCAUCUGGCUAGAGUCCGGAAGAGGAGAGUGGAAUUCCUGGUGUAGCGGUGAAAUGCGUAGAGAUCGGAAGGAACGUCAAUGGCGAAGGCAGCCACCUGGCAUCAUACUGACGCUGAGGCGCGAAAGCGUGGGGAGCGAACAGG
rnacentral:rRNA from 1 species